UACCAGCCUUUGCUGAGGUUGAUCUA
rnacentral:piRNA from 1 species